AGAAUAAAUGAUUUUAAAAGUGCCUCUAAGGAGGAUAAUAGGGAAAUCGGUGUAAAUCCGGUGCAGCCCCCGCUACUGUAAAUGUGGAUGAACCUGCAAAGACCCACUAGUCAAACUAGGAAGGGUGCAGAAGUAAAAUGAAGCAUAAGCCAGGAGACCUGCUUUUAAAAACCCCUUAUU
rnacentral:ncRNA from 2 species